AAAAAAAAAAGGAAAAAAAAAAUCAGACCAUACAUAAGGUGGAAAAGCCAACAAACAGGUGGUAAAGAAGGGCACAGUCAUACUAAAUCGUAAGAGAAUGAAGAGGGAGGGAAAUGAGAAAUACUCACACCAAGAACAACAGUAACAAGCAAUGAAAGUAAAACAAGCUAGACACCUGGGCAAUUAACCAGAGAAGAGAACCACUAAUAGAGCAUGUUAAACUAAGUAAAAAAACUGGUGGAGUAACAACCAGGGCUGAAGCACAAGUCCUGAAGGAGACACAUGGUUCAGGGAAUACAGGCAUUAUGCAACAACACUGAUGGAAGAGAACCUGAUUCAAUCAAAACAAAAGUUUUGGAUAAGGACAUUGAGAAGGGCAUCGCUGAUUGACCCAGGUCUGGUCUGAGGAAAGGAGUCUAUGGCAAUGGAUGGACUUAUCAAACGUUACUGCCUAAAGUGUGUGGUGGGAUAAAAAACAAAGACUUUUUUUUUUUUAAAUAAAAAGGUUGUUCAUACCUAGAAAACAAAUUUUAAAAGACAAAAGAAAACAAAUAAACUAAAAUAUAUCUACACACAGAAUACAAUAGAAACUGUGGAAAGACACUUUCAGAAACAAAAAGCUUCAGAAGUAAGUUCAUCAAACUACUGAAAUGAGAAUAAAGAUUUCAGGCAUAGUGAAACUAUUCUCAAAAGUCUGCCUUCAUCAGCAUCCCAUUUCAACCAUGUGCAAGACUACAGAGAGAUUUAGGAACUGCUAUUUUCUGCAAGAACAUAACUGAUUUUCUGAACAGGGAAGUGCAGUGGAGCCAGUCGAUCUAGCUCACUGCAAAGCAUUUGAUAAGGUACUGGAAGGAAAAUUGUUAGCACAGUAAUUUAAGUGAGUAAGAACUUGCAAAAGAGGAGGUUAUGUAAACUUUUUCAGUGACUGAUCUCAGAAAUUACACUAUUUAAUGCUU